rnacentral:misc_RNA from 1 species
GAUGAAGAACGCAGCGAAAUGCGAUAAGUAAUGUGAAUUGCAGAUUUCCAGUGAAUCAUCGAAUCUUUGAACGCACCUUGCGCCCCUUGGUAUUCCGAGGGGCAUGCCUGUUCGAGCGUCAUAUUAACCACUCCCGCUUGCGGGGUCUUGGGCUUCGCCUCCGGGCGGGCCUUAAAAUCAGUGGCGGUGCCGUCGGGCUCUACGCGUAGUAAAUUUUCUCGCGAUAGGGUCCCGGUGGAUGCUUGCCAACAACCCCCAACUUCUUAAGGUUGACCUCGGAUCAGGUAGGGAUACCCGCUGAACUUAAGCAUAUCAAUAAGCGGAGGA